ACGUGGAGCUUGCUUGUGUUUCAAUACAAGCUCUUGCCUCAGUCCUCUCCAGAUUGCUAAAAGGAGGUGUAUAACCCUGCUCUUCAGCAGAAAGACCGCAGGUAUUCCCGCCGCAUCCACAUAUGCACACUUACUUCCCUUGGAUGUGUGGCAACGAGCUCUGCUGCUGCAAGUGUUAUAUGCCAUCCGCAAACCCACAUGGGUGCAGGGUGCACACCUGAACAGGGGGUAGCCUCUGAUGAAACAUUUGAGUAAUGGAUUUCUUUACCUCACCUAAACAGAUCCACUGAAAAGGAAACUUUUUGGGUUCCCACCCACACGCAAGAUGUACAAAGCUGUCUGGGGCAGGUCUGGUACAGACUAGCCAGUGCCCUCCACUGGAAUAAGUGGUUAAUCUCAAAGAGGUUUACGGUGAGGUUUCAUCAAGCUGUUGAAGAGACAUCAAAGCCAGGAGUAAUUCUCUGCAUCCUGUCACAUGCUUGUUUCUGCCUCCAAGAAAGCAGAGUUAAAAUGGACUUUCAGACCAGAGACAGGUGAGGAUGACAGGGAGGCAGUGCAAAGGCUCCGCAAGUCUGAAAAUAGCAUAGUGUGUCUGCCAAGGUCUGCGGGUGCCCAAAUUUCCCCCACCGCUUCACGGUGGCCUUGGCUUUACACACUGUUGCUACCAAGUCACAGAAGGAAAAAGAUUCUGAUGAUUUUCACUUGUUUCACGCUUGACAAUUAAAACAUUCUUCUGGAUUUCCUUUUUUUUUUUCUCUCUUAAACCAGUCAAUGUUGUCUUUGUGUAAUAAGAAAUAUCAGGUAAGUCUUAGGAUGUGGACAUCAUGUUUGGGGCAAUGUCUCCCUCACCGCCUCUCUCAUCCUUUAUACCAUAAAAGAGUGAUGGCAAUAUGCUAGCUGAAAUUCACCCUUCGAUGGUUUCAUUUUCUUGUCUACAAAGGCAGGGUGAGCGACUGCUGCCCUGUGAUUUCUGGCACUCCCAGUGGAAAGGAAGCAGAGGGGCCAAGUUAUGGCAGAGUGCGCCCAGUUAGGCCUUCGACUACAAAAGUAUCAUGGUUUCCCUUCCUCCCCAGUUACCAUUCUUUCCCUGGUUCCCAUCCCCUUCCACAUCCAGCAGUGUGGGCUAACCUUCCUUUCCUCAUCCUGGGAAAACACAUCUUGCUCCAGUGCAAAGUUAGAUUGGACAAACAGCCGGUGUGGAGGGGGCUGUGGGAGGUACGGCUUGCCAGGACAACUUGGCUGAAUGGGUUCCUGAAACAAGGCAUCUCCAAAUGCUCCCUGCCCCUCAAACAGCAGAGGAGUGUGAUAAUCAUGCUGUCAACAUUUUUAGAGCAUAGCACUUACACUUUUACUAGGCCUCACUCCGGACCUAUUGAAUCAAAAUUUGCAUUUUAACCCGAUCCCACGUGAAUCACACACACAUUAAAAUUUGGUAAGCAGUAUUCUAACUCACUAGACCGCAGGUCCACAAACUGACUCAUGGGACAAACCCGGCCAGCUGCCUAUUUUUGUAAAUCAAGUUUUAUUGGAACACAGCCACACUUGUUUAUGAAUUGUCUACAACUGUUUUUACGCUACAGUGGAAAAGCUGAGUAGUUACAACAGAGACCAUACUGCUGCAAAACCUAGUAUUUAGUCUCCAGACCUUUACAGAGAAAGUUUGCUGGCUCCUAUACUAGACUGUAGACUCCUUAAAAGUGAGAACCUGAUCUUGUUCUGCUUUGUAAGGUAGAAGGGCAGUUUAGUAUAGUGGAUAUACUACGUAGACUCAGAGGCAGAUUGACAUGGUUUGUAUCUAGGCUCUGCCACUCCCUUGCAAAUGACUGUGGGUAAGACAUAACCACUCUGUGCCUCAUGUUCCCCACCUAGAAAAUGGGGAUAUAUUAGAUUGGUGCAAAAGUAAUUGCAUUAAAAUGGCAAAACUCCAAUUACUUUUGCACCAACCCACUACAUCAGAACCUACCUUUAAGGGUUGAUUUGUGGGUUAAAUAAGUGAAGAUAUGUAAAGACUUUAAGUAAUGCUCUCAGAAGAUGUUAACUAUUAGCUGGUACCAGGCAUUUUGGGAGUAGAUAGGGGAUCUGCUGAAUGUUGGCAGAAUGACCCAUCCCUAGAGCAGACAUUGUCUAUCAAUACCCAUUCUCUGCUUCUUCCUUGCUAACAUCAAUUAUUUCUGUAGAUAUCUGACCUUCAUGGAAGAUGACCUCAUCUCUGGGGGAAAAUACUAUUGAAAGCCAAUCACAAUGCCAUUCUCAGUGUCAGUGGAUUGGCAUGAGGUGGGUGGUUCUAGCCAAUGAGUCAUAAGAGGUUUUUUGUUUUUUUUUUUUUUAUUUGGGGUCUCACUCUGUCACUUAAGGCUAGAAUGCAGUGGUGUGAUCGUAGCUCACUGCAGCCUCAAAUUCCUGGGCUCAAGUGAUCCUCCUGCCUCAGCCUCCCUAGUAGGUGGAACCACAGGCGAGAGCCACCAUGCCCCGCUCAUUUUUUAUAUUUUUUGUAGAGACAGGGUCUUGCUAUGUUCCAGGCUGGUCUUAAACUCCUGGACUCAAACAAUCCCCCAACCUUGGCCUCCCAAAGUGUUGAGAUUAUAGGUGUGAGCCGCUGUGCCCGGCCUAGAAGAGGAUUCUUGAAGGACUUCUGGGAAAUGGUUCCUUCAUUCCUUAGAAGAAAACACAGAAGAGAUGCUCCUGUUCUUUUAUGAAUGUUAUCUCUGGGUGUGAUGCCUGAAACUGCAGCAGCAGGAAGGCAGGCAGUCUGAGAGCACAGCUGACCUAAUUAGAAUGGCAAGGAAGAAAGAUGGAAAGAAUUCAGGCCCCUUAAGAGGUCUCAGAGUUGCUGAAUCACCAAACUCCUGGGCUUACCUACUCACGUACUAAUGUUAUGAAAUAAAAUAAAUUUUCCUCAUAAUUUAAUUCUUGUCCAGAGCAUCCUGAUUCAUAUAGCCAGGGACCAUAGUUACACAUAUUUUUACUUCCUCCAGGACCUAACAACUGGUGUUGUGUGCUAUGAGCAAAGGAAGAGCAGUAGCUGGAAAUGAAUAACCUGGGUAGGACACAGGAAGACUCAAAAAUGUUCUAGGCUAUGCAAAUCAAAACCAUGAGAUAGUAAUAUCACCUAAUACCUUUUAAGAUGCCAUUAUGAAAAAACAAAACAUUACAAGUGUUGGAGAGGAUGUGGAGAAACUGGAACCCUUGUACAUUGUUGGUGGGAAUGUAAAAUGGUCUAGUCACUAUGGAAAACAGUAUGAAGGUCUUCAAAGAAUUAAAAACAGAACAAUAUAUGAUCCAGCAAUCCUACUUCUGGGUAUUUAUCUAAAAUAAUUAAAAGCAGGGCCUCGAAGAAACAGUCACACUCCCAUGUUCACUGCAGCAUUGUUUUCAACAAUCAAGGCGCGGAGCCAACCUAAAUGUCCCUCAAUGAAUGAACAAAGAAAAUGUGGCAUAGCCAUACAAUGGAAUGUUUUCAGCCUUAAAAAGAAAAUUCUGUCACAUGCUGUAACGUGGAUGAACCUGGAGGACAUUAUGCUAAGUGAAAUAAGCCAGUCAAAGGACAAACACUGCAUGAUUCCACUUAUAUGAGGCGUUCAAAGUAGUCAAACUCACAGAAGCAGAAAGUAGAACAGUGAUUGCCAGAGGCUGGUGGGAGGGGAAACGAGGAGUGGCUGUUCAAUGGGUAUAAACUUUUGGUUAUGCAAGAUGAAAAACUUGUAGCAGUCUGCUACAAAGCACUGUGCUGCUUCUAGUUAAUAAUGUACCGUCUCAAAAUAAAUAAAUAAUGUACUGUACACUUAAGAGGGUA
rnacentral:lncRNA from 10 species